rnacentral:rRNA from 1 species
UGGGGAAUAUUGCGCAAUGGGCGAAAGCCUGACGCAGCGACGCCGCGUGAGGGAUGAAGGUUUUCGGAUCGUAAACCUCUGUCAGAAGGGAAGAAAGUGCGUGGUGCUAAUCAGCCGCGUAUUGACGGUACCUUCAAAGGAAGCACCGGCUAACUCCGUGCCAGCAGCCGCGGUAAUACGGAGGGUGCGAGCGUUAAUCGGAAUUACUGGGCGUAAAGCGCACGUAGGCUGUUGUGUAAGUCAGGGGUGAAAUCCCACGGCUCAACCGUGGAACUGCCCUUGAUACUGCAUGACUGGAAUCCG